GUAGUUGAGGAGAAAACACUGAAGAAAGUCUUCUCUCGUCCCCCGGUCUGCUCCAAUGUGACUGAACAUUAAGGGAGAAGAUGAUCUGCAGCAUCCUGCUGCUCAUCAGCCUGACCUCCUGUGUCUCUGGAUCAUUUGUAGUGAAUGUGACACAGACCUCCUAUCAGGCAGAGGAGAAUCACAGCAUCACACUGGAGUGGAUGUUCACAACCAGAAGUCACAGUUCCC